rnacentral:rRNA from 1 species
UACAGAGGUCCCGAGCGUUGUUCGGAUUCAUUGGGCGUAAAGGGUGCGUAGGCGGCUUCCUAAGUUUGAUGUGAAAUCCUGGGGCUCAACCCUGGAACUGCAUUGAAUACUGGGAGGCUAGAGUACUGGAGAGGAAACUGGAAUUUACGGUGUAGCAGUGAAAUGCGUAGAGAUCGUAAGGAAGACCAGUGGCGAAGGCGGGUCUCUGGACAGUUCCUGACGCUGAGGCACGAAGGUCAGGGGAGCAAACGAG